UGUGUCUCGUGUCUUCAGCCUUACUCGCCGUGUCUCCCUGUUACCCUGCUCAUUUUUGGAUUCUGGUUUUCACCCUUUUGGAUUUCUGUUGGACAGCCUUUGUUUUUGGACUCAGUCAAUCAGCCAUUCUGUUUAACAGAUGAACCCGUGCAACAUCCCUGCAGGUCGGAGGAUGGUGUCGACCUGUGGACAGCAGUCAUCCUCCUCUGUGCUGGCCUGACCGCUCCUCUCCUCAUGGUGAACUUCUUAUCCUCUGCUGCCAUCUGAUUCAGGUGUGUCAGACCCGGAGCGGCCUGUCAAAGCAGUCACGUGUUUCACUACCUGAGUUUGCUUCAGACGUCAGUUCAACGUCACGAGUGACGUAACGAUACAAGCGCUGAAGCAGGGGUUCGUUGGAAGUUUCGGUGUCUGAAGCAACAUCAAUCUGCGAGACCAGGACCGAGAGCGGGAUGGAGGAGGACAACCAGGACCCGGAGCCCCGGAGCAACAACGUCCCCGGAGGACAAACAGCAGGCUCGAGCUCUGAUAGCACCGAUGUUCAGAAAUAAACACCAGUUGGAGAACAAAAGAGAUCGAAGCAAAGUGGAGUCCCAUUGUUUUACCAGAACAGAGACCCGAGUUGACAUGAAACCCUGUAACAACUGACUCUCAGCUUCUUCAGGACCUCCUUUUAUAGCUCUGUUUCUGAGCAUUAUAUAAUCUCUUGGCUCUCUUUCCUGCUGCACCUGGAUCUGUGGAAAGUCCCAGAUAUUCGAGGGUGUCUCUUAUCUCACUGCUCCUCCUCUCUUUGGCCUUGGCUUACUGCUUACUGCUGAUCUUAAUAUCUCAACCUGACUUUGUGGAAUAAGCUGGUGUCUUUUGUCUUUCUGUGUGCUAGAGACAGGACUUUCUUACUGUGCACUGUUCUUCUGCUGAGCCCAGGCAGUCAGAUACAUAGAGAAGCACUCACACCGAGCUACAGAGUUUUAACACAGCAAAUACAAUGACUUAUUAUUAUUUUCUGAAAAUAAUUUGUUUUUUUGGAGAAGUAAGAGGAAGCACAACCAAUCAACCUACACUUUCAUAUGGCUUUUCUGACAUUAAACGGGUUUAAUGUGUCUAAAUUCUGGCAUUUUUCAGUAUCUGAAGUGUUAAAGAUCCGCGCUGGCGGACCUGUCAGCUGCAGCGGAGCACUGUGUGUGUGCGCCUGUCAGUCUGGGGGAUGCGAGCAACCCCCCUCACUGAUUGGCUCAACAAUCGAAAGAGUUUAUUUUCCAGCUGAUGUUCUUCUCAUGCAUAGCUGUACGAUCUGUAGAGUCCAGCACAGGGGAAGCUGAGCCCGGGAGAGGCCUACUCAGAGCUGAAGAUGAGGAAACACGCACACACUGCUCUAUUUUAUAGAACUGUAUUGUAGUUUUUGAUUAUGUUGAACUAUUUUAGCUCUCUGACCGGCUGUACACAUGACACAUGUUGGUACCAGUAUACUGUUCCAGCUCAGGCUUGCCUCAGUGCAGUGGUGCCUCGCUUAUACAAACUGAAGAGGCAGGUGGCAUCCUAAAGUUUCUUGAAGGUCUUCAGCGUAAUCUGAUUCAUUUUAUACAGUAAUAACUACAAACUCGCCUAAAAGUCCUCUCCAUUUCAAAGUCCCGGGCUGAAUUUCAGUAUCAGUACAUCCCUGAUAACAGCAUGAACGUACCGGUCAACCCUCCCAGUUUGCCCGCGAUUCUGCUGUAUUUUUAACCUUUCUAUAAAAAAACAUAAUAAAGAACGCUUGCUUAUUUGAAAUGUUUGCUACGUUCCUCUCUAGUAAACCCAGCUGCAGUAUGUAACGUUAGAACAUUAGCUGUAACAGCAGAACCAGCCAAUAAAACAAGAACAGCAGCGCGAGGGGACAAGUUGCCAGGAUGGAUGAUUCAGGGCUCUACAGAGUAUUUCACUCGCAUAUCUCGCAGAAAAAUAAAUAAAUGAUUUACGAGCAGUGUGCAAGUAAAGACUACAAUCUACCGUAAUCGUUCUGCAUGAAUGGUUCUGAUAAGUAUUUGCUUGGCAUUAAUAAAUUAGAGA